rnacentral:tRNA from 1 species
GGGAUGGUAGCUCAGCGGUAGAGCAGUACCCUUUUAAGGUAUUGGUCCCGGGUUCAAAUCCCGGCCAUCCUA